rnacentral:lncRNA from 1 species
UGUCAAAUGGAUUGGAUGGGACUGAAGGAGGUGCUGGAUUCAGAAAUGAGUUCUGUAUGAUUGGAGGGGGCUUCAGUGUUGUGUGACUGUCAAAUGGACUGGACGGGACUGAAGGAGGUGCAGGAUUCAGAAAUGAGUUCAGUACUGUUGAAGGGGGCUUCACUGCUGUGUCCAAUGGAUUGGACGGGACUGAAGGAGUUGCAGGACUCAGAAAUGAGGUCUGUACGAUUGGAGGGGGCUUGAGCGUCGUCUCAAAUGAAUUGGACGGGACUGAUGAAGGUGCAGGAUUCAGAAAUGAGUUAUGUGCAAUUGAAGGGGACUUGAAUCUUGUAUCAAAUGGACUGAAUGGGACUGGAGGAGUUGGAGGAUUAAAAAAUGAGUUUG